CUCCCUCUCUCUUUCCUCUCUCUCCUUCUCCCUCUUUUCUGUUUCACCAGAUUUCUCAACCCAAGGGGCGGAACCAUGCCUGACCACUCCUAGUAUGCCUCGGUACGCCCCGAACCAAACAGUUCGAGGCAGUACAGCAUUCCAUGCCCCACGUGGUUCAAUAAUUCAGCAACAAUUGAAAUUAUCCUAUUUUCUUCUUAGAUAGGUUGAGGAAUGUGUGUGAUUCAUAUAUGUUCUAGUGUUGUUAAAAUCAGCCUAUCCACGAUCCAAAUUAAAAAACUAUAAAACAAUAUCGAUCGGGAACUAGAACCAGUUUUGGAAAGGAUCGUCUAAUCCAUUUUUGGGUCAUGCGAUCCAAAAAGUGAGUGAUCCAAUCCACUGGAUCAUGCUUACUGUUUGCUGUCCAUCCAUGAAACAAAGUAGCAUCUCCUUGAUUUCAUGCAUGAACAGUAAAUCGCCCCCCAUCCCCCUUCUCUCCCACCCACCAAAAAAAAUAUCUGGUUCUUUUCAAUUGCAAUUAAUGUUUAUUUAGACUGAUUUUAAGGAUGAUUUAAAGGAUUUUUAACUAAAGUUUUCUCGAUUUGUUUUCCUUUUAAAGAGUUCAAUUUGAAUUCAAAUUCAUGUGUACAUAGGUAAUAAGCUGAAUCCCCUAGUUUCCUUCUAGAAAUAGUGUAGUCUCUAUCAAUAAAGAUCCAUAUCAAUCAAUAUAAGGCAAUUUUCAUUGGCUGUUUAUAUAAUAUUCUAGAGUCCUUAUAAAGAAAAAAAGGCAUACUGAUUUUCACCUUUUAGAAGAGUAUUUGUAUCCAGCUAGCUGCAGAGAAUUGAUUGGGAUUCUUACGAGGAAGAUUACUAAAUAACUUGCUGCAAACCCCUUGUUCAUUUCUCUUCUUUUUUGCUCUUUUACUACUAUUGUCACCAAGGUCCGCCGUACCGGUACCGGUCGGCGUACCGGUGGCGGCCCGGAUCGGUACGAAAUCGAUCUCGUACCGGUCCG
rnacentral:lncRNA from 1 species